UGUUUCAUGAUUAGGUGACAAAUACUACGAAUGAUACUAUGAUUUGACCAUCUACAAUACCAAUAUGGAGAUUCCUCAUGGCGAUGACUUUGCAAAGGCAGAAAACUCUUCAUCUCCCUUGUUGAACUCAAUAAUUCAUCAAGCACCUUGGACGACUAGCCUUUCUGUUCAAGACGUAACAAAAACAAUUGGUAGGAAGAGGGUUAACAGUAAUAGAAUAACUUAACGAAAGAAGAUUAAAGAUAAGAUUAUAUGUAAUUUAUGAUUAAGAUAACCUCUUAUUAAUAACGUGUUCAUUGACAUAUCAUUUCAAAUUUUUAUUUGACAAAUUUUUGCACAGUAACCUGCCACAAAUGAAGUGCUAUGGGUUAGCAAAAACAACCAAAAUUCUCCCAAAAACAACCCACUACAAAACCAAUCCAAGCAAUCAUUUGCAACAACUCUACAUUCCUUGAUUCAAACAAAAAACCAAAGGGAGGUGGAGAACUGUAUGCUAGUUGCAGUUCACCUUUUCCCACUUAUACCAUUAAUUACUAAAGAAUUUACAACACUAACUUAACACUCAUGAGCUAUACCCAUUUGGUGAGAGGAAAUACAUUGUAAAUCAUAUCAUAAC
rnacentral:lncRNA from 1 species